GAUGAACGCUGGCGGCGUGCCUAAUACAUGCAAGUCGAGCGAACGGACGAGAAGCUUGCUUCUCUGAUGUUAGCGGCGGACGGGUGAGUAACACGUGGAUAACCUACCUAUAAGACUGGGAUAACUUCGGGAAACCGGAGCUAAUACCGGAUAAUAUUUUGAACCGCAUGGUUCAAAGGUGAAAGACGGUCUUGCUGUCACUUAUAGAUGGAUCCGCGCUGCAUUAGCUAGUUGGUAAGGUAACGGCUUACCAAGGCAACGAUGCAUAGCCGACCUGAGAGGGUGAUCGGCCACACUGGAACUGAGACACGGUCCAGACACCUACGGGAGGCAGCAGUAGGGAAUCUUCCGCAAUGGGCGAAAGCCUAACGGAGCAACGCCGCGUGAGUGAUGAAGGUCUUCGGAUCGUAAAACUCUGUUAUUAGGGAAGAACAUAUGUGUAAGUAACUGUGCACAUCUUGACGGUACCUAAUCAGAAAGCCACGGCUAACUACGUG
rnacentral:rRNA from 1 species